GAGAUCACGGACCUUUCUGCAGGGGAGAACUUAACACAUUUUCACUAACUUGAAUCAUUUCAUUUAUGUGUAUUAGAUUGAAUGUCAUUAAUAAUAUUAAUAUUAAUAUUAGAAUAAUAUAAUUAGAAAGAAUAUCUUGUUCUAUUUAGUUAUAGAUGGAAACAGAUAUAUAAAGUUUAAUUUGAUACAUUUAAUUACAGAACAAGGUCAGACUAUACAUAUCUGGCAGUAGUGUCUAGGAAAUCAAAAUCAAUCAGCAUUAGGUAAUUUCAUUAUGUCUCACAGAACAUUGUUUUAAGAUGAAAUGUAUAACUCGGAAUACUAAUAGAAUCUUUUUCCUAUGAUGUGUUAGACAACAGCGAAGUGAUUAUUUCAGAUGACGAGUGUCUUGAAACAUCAACGCAAGGCUUAAGAACAACAGAACGAUCUGACUCCGACCAAAGGCCUACCGCUUUAGUACAUCCGUGGCCUAAACCAAUUCCUCGAAUUGCAGAACAAGAGGACAUAGGCCGCGUUUUCAAAGGAGAAAACAACUCGGAUCAAGUGCUUAAUCAUCUAGAUCAAGCCACUUACACUGAUGAAGUGAGUGAUACUGAUGAAGAACAAGAAGAAGACAUAGGCCACAUUUUCGAUGGAGGAGAAAAUAAUCUCGAUCAAGUGGCUGCAUAUCCUGAGGAGUGUUUCAUCACAUUGAAUGGAUUCUUUCAACUAAGAGACGAAAUAUUUGGAAGGUUUGAACGUCUGUUUAUUACACUUGACAACACUUCAGGUAUUGAAUAUCUACAAUCUUUAUAUGAUACUCUUGAAUGUCUGAAAAGCUGUGUUACUGUGAAUAUAGAGUUGUUAAAAAGAUUUCACAAUAGACAUGGAGCAGAAGCGGGUGAAUCUCACACAGUCUUCAGGGGCUAAGAAAAUAUGGUGUGAAAAUAAUCUACCGUCUUAUGAUUUCGGUUUUGAUGAAACUUUUUCUAGUAGUUUGUUACAGCACAACUCAUGCACAACUCUGAACCCUUAUUUAACAGAUGCUAUCAAUCAGUUAAACGAGAGUUUAGGACCAUCACAGCAGCUUGUUAGUCAGACCCCUAUUACAGAUUAUAGUGACAUCAUUACACCUGAGACACAACAUGACAUAAUCAGUGAACUUAACCAGAGUCUGUUAGCAUUACAGAAUAGUCUAAAUGAACAAGGUUACUCUACACAGUUGAAUCCCUCAUUAAUAGAUGCAGUUAACCAGUUGAAUGUUAGUCUAAGAAGUCCUGAGCCGGUUAAUACCCAAUUCCAAUCAUAAUUCAGAUCAUAAUGUAUCAAAUACACCACAUACUCAACACGACAUAUUCAGUGAACUUAACCAGAGUCUGCUAGCAUUACAGAAUAGUGUAAAUGAACAAGGUUACUCUACCCCCUUGAAUCCAGCGUUAUUAGAUGCGGUUAAUCAAUUAAAUGAUAGUUCAAAACAUCAACGAGGUCUCUACUUCAGAAAUCGAGCAUAAUCAUACACCGUUAUCUCCACAUGAUUUGUUUCAUGAUCUUAACCAAAGCCUCGUUAUGUUAAAUGCGGGUUUUGUAAACUUUUUCGAUACCGUUGCGUCACGAAACACUCAAACUGUAAAUGAAAACAGGACUGAAACAGUCUCCUAAUGUAGAAGACGUACAAACAGCUAAUACUGAGAACAUAAACCCCCAAAGCUGUGAUGACAUGCAAAUAUUUUGUGGUGUUAACAUACAACCCCAUAGUGUUGAAAGCAUGCAAUUAGAUAAUGAUGAGAUCAUACCCUCACCCAGUAAUGAAAACGUGCAAGUUGGUAACGGAAUUGAUCCUAAUAUUAGAAUAAUUAAUCGCGACCGAUUCAGUAAUACUGAAAUUAGGAGAAGAGUAAAUUUUUCAUCGAUCGCAGCUGUAGACAGCUUUACGGAUUUUUAUAAUUGUUUUAGAAAUCUUAAACAGUUUGAUAGAAGUGGCUAAUGAAAUGAUUUCACCAAAGGACAUAGUAACGGUUGAAAUUAGAGGUGAUACGAUCAACGUAUCUUCAUGCAUUCAACUAGUUAAUGGGUCUGUUGAUUUACAGUCAUUUCUGACCAUGCUUGAAAAUUCUAUUCAAAGUAAACGUGAAAUUUUUACAGAUAAUACACUCGAAAUAGUAAUCCAAAUAAAAGGAAGGUUAGUACAUUAUUCACUUCGGAAGCUAUACAGAAGAAGAUGAGACAUCUGUAUAUAUUUCAUAAUAAAGACAACAUGUGUUUUACACUAUGUGUUACACAACUUUUGAACCCUCAAAAUAAUGACUUUCAAACUGAAAAAAUCGCUAGACAAAUCCUCCGUGAUGUAGGAUUAACUGAAAACACAGCUGUCACAUUCGCUGAUGUAUCUAAAUUUGAGAAGCAUCUGAAGUGUAAAAUCGUAAUCAUACACCGUUCUGACAACAAAGCCGGCUACUCUUUCUUUCAAACCAGCAAAACCCCCCAUGAAAAAACAAUUUACUUGUUCUUGCAUGACAAUAAUUAUUACGGAGUUAAAAGCAUUACAGGACUUUUGGGACGUGGUCAUGUCUGUCGUUUCUGUCAUUCGGGGUAUGAGGAAGCCAGAGCUCACAAGUGUGAGUUUAGCUGUAACAUUUGUCGUGAUGUAGAUUGCUACAAACAUAGACAGGGUAUAAUUAAAUGUCCUGAUUGUUCGAGGUUGUGUAAGUCAAAACGUUGUUUCGACAUACAUAAAGUAAAACAUCGAUCUGAAAGAGGUGAAUACUCUCUGUGUGAAACGGGGUUCUAUUGUAGUACCUGUAAUGUCAUAGAGUAUCGGAACCCCUUUAACCGGAAAGAUCAUGUGUGCUUAGGGAGACAUUGUGAACUCUGUGGUGAAAAAGUGGAUUCAGAAACAGUGCAUAACUGUUAAGGAAAGAAAAGCCAAAUAUGAAAUACAUCUUUUAUGAUUUCGAGACUAGACAGGAAACAGGAACUCAUACUGCUAAUUUAUUAUGUUGUAUGAAUUGUAGGGGAGGAGUGUGUUGCAGCAUUUUUUAGGACUUUCCAUCAUAAAAAGUACAGAGGGUACACAUUUAUAGCGUAUAACACUAGAGGGUUCGAUUCAUACCUUUUGCUAAAUCAUUUAGUGAAAGAAGGAAUCGCACCUGAAAUCAUUGCACAAGGUGGAAAAAUUAUGUGUUUUUCUGAUACAGAUUUUCAACAGAAAUACAUCAAUAGUCUGUCUUUCUUACCCAUGAAGCUAAGUAAUCUUCCUAAAGCCAUGGGGUUCUCAGAAAAUAAGAAAGGUUAUUUUCCUCAUUUCUGGAACACAUUAGAACACCGAGACUACAUAGGUCCGUAUCCUGAGCCCGAGUUUUACGGUGUGGAUAGCAUGAUGCCUAAGGACAGGGAGGAUUUUUUUAUGUGGUACGCGACCGUGACUGACAAAGUCUUUAAUUUAAAGAAAGAGAUACUGCAUGAACGAUGUAGACAUUCUGAGACAGGGGUGUUUAGCUUUCAGAAAUGAAAUUCUAGAAAGUACAGAAGUUGAUCCCUUUAAAUGUAUAACAAUCGCAUCUGUCAUUAUUUCUCGAUGAAGACACACUAGCUAUCCCACCACUAGAUAAUUACAUCAAUAGACAGAAAUCUUUCUCAACACCAUCCAUUCAGUGGCUUGAAUACAUUUCCGCCACACAAAACCUUCCCAUUCAACACGCUCUGAACGAAGGUGAAGCAACGUUUGGCCUUUAUUCUGUUGAUGGGUAUUGUGAAGUGGGUCAGACGUGAAAGGCAUUCGAGUUUCUCGGUUGUUUUUAUCAUGGGUGUGAAAAGUGUUAUCCCUCAACAGGCCCCUUCCCCUUUAACAGCAACAUUAGCUUCGGGGAUGUCUGUCAAAAAACGUUGGAGAAAAUUAAGUAUUUGCAAGAGACACACAAUUUACAUGUCACAACAAUUUGGGAGCAUGAGUGGAGUGAAAUGAAGAAAUGUGAUAACAACGUGGUAAACUUUCUAAAAGAGUUUGACUUUCCAGAGCACAUAAACCCCCGAGACGCCCUUUACGGCAGUAGAACCAACGCAUUUCAUUUACAUUACACAGUAAAAGCAGAGGAGAGAAUAGAUUAUUAUGAUUUCACUUCUCUUUAUCACUACGUGAAUAAGACAAAAACCUACCCAAUCAGUCACCCAGUCAUCAUUUACCGUGACUUUGAGCCUCUAGAGAAUUAUUUCAGGUUAAUCAGAGCUAAAGUAUUACCGCCUAGAGGUCUGUGGUCUCCUGUUCUUCCUUACAGGGUAAGAAGCAAACUUCUUUUCCCUCUGUGUAAAACAUGCUGUGAGCAACAACAGCAAAAGCAGUGUCGCCAUUCAGACCAAGACCGAGCUCUUAUCGGAACUUGGGCAUCUGUCGAAAUAGCUAAGGCCAUUGUAAAGGGUUACAAAAUUUUGUGUUUUAAAGUGUUUGAGGUUUGGCACUUCCCCAAUAGAUCUAACAAUCUCUUUACCAAGUAUAUUAAAAUGUUUCUCAAAACCAAACAGGAAAGUUCAGGCUACCCAUCAUGGGUAGUCGAUGAAAACACAAAAGACACAUACAUUAAAAAUUACAAGCAUAACGAGGGUAUCGAGUUGAAUCCUGAUCACAUCAGGGUCAACCCCACAAAAAGAUCUGUGGCUAAACUCGUGUUAAAUUCGCUGUGGGGUAAAAUGUGCCAAAAACAGAUCAAACACAUCUCUGAUCAAAGUUUUUAAACUUUAUGUUCUCUGAUCUCUACAAUGUUAGCCAUUUCUCUUUUCUGUCAGAUGAGGUCGCUCUCACACAGUGACGCUAUAAGGAUGACAGACUGAUUAAACCAGGUAAUGCUAACGUAUUCAUCGGAAUUUUUACUACAGCAUAUGCGAGACUAGAACUGUACAAUCUGUUGGAUCGUGUAAAACAGCGUUGUUUAUACACAGACACAGACAGCAUCAUUUUUAAAAGCGGUGAAGGUGAUUGGAUGCCUCCACUGAGUGAUUACUUGGGUCUUACCAGCGAGCUAGAGGAUGGUGAUCAUAUUAUUGAGUUUGUCAGUACUGGUCCUAAAACCUAUGGGUAUAAAACUAAAAAACAUCUAUGAAAGCAAAAGGUAUCAAUUUAAAUUCCGAAGUUGUCAAUUUGAAAUCGCUUACUGAGCUAGUGGAUGAUCGAGUGAAGAAUCCGGAUCAAAUCGGUCAACUUAUAACAUCACACAAACAAAUCAUUUGAGAUAAAAAGGGUUUUCAUUUGAGAAAUCAAACACAAAUAAAAAGAUUCAGAGUUGUGUAUGACAAACGUGUUUUAUUACCUGAUUUUACAACUCUCCCUUACGGUUAUUAAGAUUGUUCGUGCUUAUGAUUGUAUAUACACUAUAUUGCCAAAAGUAUUCGCUCACCCAUCCAAAUAAUCAGAAUCAGGUGUUCCAAUCACUUCCAUGGCCACAGGUGUAUAAAAUCAAACACCUAGGCAUGCAGACUGUUUUUACAAACAUUUGUGAAAGAAUGGGUCACUCUCAGGAGCUCAGUGAAUUCCAGCGUGGAACUGUGAUAGGAUGCCACCUGUACAACAAAUCCAGUCGUGAAAUUUCCUCGCUCCUAAAUAUUCCACAGUCAACUGUCAGCUGUAUUAUAAGAACGUGGAAGUGUUUGGGAACGACAGCAACUCAGCCACGAAGUGGUAGGCCACGUAAACUGACGGAGCGGGGUCAGCGGAUGCUGAGGCGC